rnacentral:rRNA from 1 species
AGCUCCAAUAGCGUAUAUUAAAGUUGUUGCAGUUAAAAAGCUCGUAGUUGGAUUUGUGGCUGUCUCGAGCGGCCUGACACCUAGUGUUAGUGUUUGUUUGAGUCGCCAUCCUUGGGUGGAACCUGUGUGGCAUUAGGUUGUCGUGCAGGGGAUGCCCAUCGUUUACUGUGAAAAAAUUAGAGUGUUCAAAGCAGGCUUAUGCCGUUGAAUAUAUUAGCAUGGAAUAAUAAGAUAGGACCUUGGUACUAUUUUGUUGGUUUGCGCACCAAGGUAAUGAUUAAUAGGGACAGUUGGGGGUAUUCGUAUUCCAUUGUCAGAGGUGAAAUUCUUGGAUUUCUGGAAGACGAACUACUGCGAAAGCAUUUACCAAGGAUGUUUUCAUUAAUCAAGAACGAAAGUA